rnacentral:lncRNA from 1 species
CAUCAAAAUCUACUCCAACCAUCGAAGCUGUACAGGAACAAGCUGAAGAAGAAGCCGACAGGUGAUCGAAAUAAUAAAUUUUUUUAUAAUCGAAUAAUAGUCUAAUUUUGUAAUCGACCCUGGGUCCAAUUUUAUAAUAUCUUCUUUAAUGAAUGAAAAAAAAAUUUAAGUAUGGAAUCUCUUUUUCAAUCUUAGUGUACUAUCAAUGUCAUUGAAUAACAA